rnacentral:rRNA from 1 species
UACGUAGGUGGCAAGCGUUGUCCGGAUUUACUGGGUGUAAAGGGCGUGUAGGCGGGAUAGCAAGUCAGAUGUGAAAUUCCGGGGCUUAACCCCGGCGCUGCAUCUGAAACUGUUAUUCUUGAGUGUCGGAGAGGAAAGUGGAAUUCCCAGUGUAGUGGUGAAAUGCGUAGAGAUUGGGAGGAACACCAGUGGCGAAGGCGGCUUUCUGGACGAUAACUGACGAUGAGGCGCGAAAGAGUGGGGAGCAAACAGG